rnacentral:pre_miRNA from 1 species
AGGUUUUUGAAUCCUUGCUGAGAUUUCGUCAGGCAUCAACCCAUUAGAACUGAUCAAACAUCAAAGAUAAGUGAAGUU